rnacentral:rRNA from 1 species
GACGAACGCUGGCGGCGUGCUUGACACAUGCAAGUCGAACGGAAAGGCCCUGCUUUUGUGGGGUGCUCGAGUGGCGAACGGGUGAGUAACACGUGAGUAACCUGCCCAUGACUUUGGGAUAACUUCAGGAAACUGGGGCUAAUACCGGAUAGGAGCUCCUGCUGCAUGGUGGGGGUUGGAAAGUUUCGGCGGUUGGGGAUGGACUCGCGGCUUAUCAGCUUGUUGGUGGGGUAGUGGCUUACCAAGGCUUUGACGGGUAGCCGGCCUGAGAGGGUGACCGGCCACAUUGGGACUGAGAUACGGCCCAGACUCCUACGGGAGGCAGCAGUGGGGAAUAUUGCACAAUGGGCGGAAGCCUGAUGCAGCAACGCCGCGUGCGGGAUGACGGCCUUCGGGUUGUAAACCGCUUUCGCCUGUGACGAAGCGUGAGUGACGGUAAUGGGUAAAGAAGCACCGGCUAACUACGUG